AUGGCUGCGUCUCUCCGCGCGGCGGCGACCACGAGGAUCCCGCGUCCGUCGGUGCUUCGAGGGCAGGGGCUUCGCCGGCUCGUCCACGCCGAGGAUCUUUCCAAAUCCAUCCUCCCCUUAGACAAGGAACAACGUGGUCCGCUAGUCCGGCGGAUGGGGGAGCUGAUGCGUUUGCAGGCUUCCAAAUUCACCCACGCCAUGAAGGAGGAACACCGUGCGGAGCUAGUCCAGCUGAAGAAGGAGCAAUUGUACGAAGUCAUUGCCCUUGUCGACGCCGAUUCUAAAACCUCCUUGCGGGACAAGAGUCUGCUCAAGGACCUCUCUACCCAAAUCGAGCCUAGACCACAUGACCCUCAAUGGCGGAAGAUAACCAGGAGCAAGAAGGUGACCAAGUGGACUGCUUUGGCGGGUAUUCUUGCUAUUAAUGCUCUCGGUUAUUGUGCCCUGCCUUCCGGUCCUGAAAUAGUGAAGUAUGACGGAUAUCUUGUAACCGUGGAGAGUCUUCCCUUGAUACGACAAUAUCAGCACGCUGCUGAGAGAGCGCGUAAGCAAGAUGGAUAUCAGCAUGUUGCUACUUCUGUGGGACUGGACAAGCAAGAGGAGAUGUGA
rnacentral:rRNA from 1 species